AUUCUCUCUAAUGACUGUCUCCCUCGCUGGAUGUGAUGAAGUAGGCUACAUUAUGCAGCACCCCAUGAAACAAAGAAUUGAGUGUGACCACCAGGCAACAUCUGGCAAGGAACUGAGUUCCAACAGUGCACAAGGAAGUGAAUCCUGACAACAGUCCCAAGAGCUUAGGAGUGAAUCCUUCUCCACUCCAGCCUCAGAUAAGUCUUGCCCUUAAUUGCAGCCUCAUGAAAGACUCUGAAACCUUGGGCCCAGGUAACCCAUGCCAAGAUUCCUGACCUGCAGAAACUGUGGGUCAUCAAGCAUGUUCUUUCAAGUCUCUACAUGUGUAGUAAUUUGUUAUGCAGCUUUAGAUAACCAAGAGAUGGAACAAUUGGAACUGCCCUACAGUUACGGUGGGGCAUAAAAUGACACAAGCAUUUUGGAAAACAGUUGGGCAGUUUCUUAUAAAAUUAAACAGACACUUACCCUAACACCCAGCAUUGUGCUCUAGGUAUUUACCUAAGAAAAAUAAAACGUGUUUAUACAAAGACUUAUACAUGAAUAUUUAUAGCAGUUUUAUACAUAAUAGCCUACAAGUAGAAACAACUCAAAUGUCCAUCCAAAGACAAAUAACUAAAGUAUGGAAUAUUCAUACAGUAAAAUACUACUCAGCAAUCAAGAGGAAUGAGCCACUAACACAUUCAACAACAUCGAUGAAUGUCAAAAACGUCAUGUUGAGGAAAAGACCCCAGACAUAAAAGAAUAUAUUAUAUAUUAGUCCAUUUAUAUUAAACUCUAGAAAGCACAAAUCUAAUCUUUGAUCAUAGAAAAUAGAUCUGUGGUCAUCUAAAACUGGGGGUGUGAGGUCAGGAUUGACAGCAAAGGCUCACAAGCCUGACUUUUGGGGGUGGUGGGCAAGUUCUACAUCUUGAUUGUGACAGUAUUUACAAUCAACUGUCAAAACUCAUGGAGCUGUUCACUUAAAGUUGGUAAAUUAUAUUUUAUGUAAAUUUUUCCUUGAUAAAGUUUUUUUAAAUGAUCUCAAGGUGGAUUAAAGACUUAAACUGUAAAACUCCCAGGAGAAAACAUACAGAGGAUCCUUCAUUAUAUUGGUAUUGGCAGUGAUUUAUUGGAUAUGAUGCCAAAAGCACAGUACACAAAAACAAAAACAGAAUACAGCAACGGAACAAUUAACAGAGUGAAAAAGUAACCUGUGGAAUGGGAAAAUGGGAAUGCUGUUCUGCAUAGCAACGGAACAAUUGGCAGAGUGAAAAGUUUCUUGCAGCUUGGUGUGGUGGAUCUCACCUGUAAUCCCAGGACUUUGGGAGGCCGAGGCAAGAGGAUUGCUUGAGACCAGGAGAUGAAGACCAGCCUGGGCAACAUAAUGAGACCCUGUCUCCACAAAAAUAAAAUAAAAUAAAAUAAAGAUAAAAAUAAAAAAUUUAAAAAUAA
rnacentral:lncRNA from 1 species